rnacentral:rRNA from 1 species
AUGCAAGUCGAACGGCAGCACGGACUUCGGUCUGGUGGCGAGUGGCGAACGGGUGAGUAACAUAUCGGAACGUAUCCAAUAAUGGGGGAUAACUAAUCGAAAGGUUGGCUAAUACCGCAUACGCCCUACGGGGGAAAGCAGGGGAUCUUCGGACCUUGCGUUAAUGGAGCGGCCGAUAUCUGAUUAGCUAGUUGGUGGGGUAAAGGCCCACCAAGGCGACGAUCAGUAGCUGGUCUGAGAGGACGACCAGCCACACUGGAACUGAGACACGGUCCAGACUCCUACGGGAGGCAGCAGUGGGGAAUUUUGGACAAUGGGCGCAAGCCUGAUCCAGCCAUUCCGCGUGAGUGAAGAAGGCCUUCGGGUUGUAAAGCUCUUUCGCAAGGGAAGAAACGUUACCGGUGAAUAUCCGGUGAUAAUGACGGUACCUUGAUAAGAAGCACCGGCUAACUACGUGCCAGCAGCCGCGGUAAUACGUAGGGUGCGAGCGUUAAUCGGAAUUACUGGGCGUAAAGCGUGCGCAGGCGGUUUUGUAAGUCAGAUGUGAAAUCCCCGAGCUCAACUUGGGAACUGCGUUUGAAACUACAAGACUAGAAUAGGUCAGAGGGGGGUAGAAUUCCACGUGUAGCAGUGAAAUGCGUAGAGAUGUGGAGGAAUAUCAAUGGCGAAGGCAGCCCCCUGGGAUCAUAUUGACGCUCAUGCACGAAAGCGUGGGGAGCAAACAGGAUUAGAUACCCUGGUAGU